rnacentral:rRNA from 1 species
ACCUCGGAUCAGGUAGGGAUACCCGCUGAACUUAAGCAUAUCAAUAAGCGGAGGAAAAGAAACCAACAGGGAUUGCUCUAGUAACGGCGAGUGAAGCAGCAAUAGCUCAAAUUUGAAAUCUGGCGUCUUCGACGUCCGAGUUGUAAUUUGUAGAGGAUGCUUCUGAGUAACCACCGACCUAAGUUCCUUGGAACAGGACGUCAUAGAGGGUGAGAAUCCCGUAUGCGGUCGGAAAGGUGCUCUAUACGUAGCUCCUUCGACGAGUCGAGUUGUUUGGGAAUGCAGCUCUAAAUGGGAGGUAAAUUUCUUCUAAAGCUAAAUAUUGGCCAGAGACCGAUAGCGCACAAGUAGAGUGAUCGAAAGAUGAAAAGCACUUUGGAAAGAGAGUUAAAAAGCACGUGAAAUUGUUAAAAGGGAAGGGAUUGCAACCAGACUUGCUCGCGGUGUUCCGCCGGUCUUCUGACCGGUCUACUCGCCGCGUUGCAGGCCAGCAUCGUCUGGUGCCGCUGGAUAAGACUUGAGGAAUGUAGCUCCCUCGGGAGUGUUAUAGCCUCUUGUGAUGCAGCGAGCGCCGGGCGAGGUCCGCG